rnacentral:lncRNA from 1 species
AGGCGGGACUCCGGAGUGGGCGGGGCUCCGGCUCUAGGCAGGCUGCUAUGUUGGAUCAAGUAAAGUUCUAAACGCUGUGCACCUAUUUAGUACUGACUAGUACUAGGAAGUGUAUUUGCUUUUCGGAGAUGAUGGGAUCUAAAUUUUGUUUAUACCACUUCACGCCCAUUAGGAUGGCUACUAGCAAAACCCCCAGAAAUUAGUGUUGGUGAAGAUGUAGAGAAAUUGAAGCCCUUGUAUAUUGCUGUUGGGAAUGUAAAAUGGUGCAGCCAUGUGAUGAACAAUACUGCGGUUCCUCAACAAAUCAGUUAUAUGAUCCAGCAUUUUCUUUUCUGGGUAUAUAACCCAAAAGAAUUUAAAACAGGGUGUACAAGAAGAAAUGUUUUUACACUCACGUUGACAGCGGCACUAUUCACAAUAGCCAAAAGGGUGGAGGCAAUUUAAGUGUCCAAAAACAGAUACAUGGAUAAGCAAAAUGUUGUCUGUGCAUGCAAGGGAACAUUUUUUAGCCUGAACAAAGAACGAAAUUCUGACACUUGCUACUACAUGGAUGAACCUGGAGGACACUAUGCUGAGGGAGAGACUCCAGUCCCACCAGAUUUCCCACCGAUCUGCUGACAUGAUGCUCCUGCCUCUGCCUGGACUGCUGACCUCCCCACGUGCUUCUCCCUGCUUAUCUUAUCAUAAAACCUAUGGAAGAAAUCGAGGAUGUUUGCAUAGGACGUUUUUGGAGAAUUUGGCCUUUUGAAAGAAAAUGUAACUAAGCUCUGUGGUUCUGAAAGCUUCCUCUACCUGAGAUGAUUUCAAGAUCUCCAGGACACCUGUGGGUAUCAUUGGUAGAUGCUGUUCAGGUAGUUAAGGUGAUGUUGGUGAGUAUUAUUUGAUAAAAAUGCUGGAUAUUACAUUAACUCACUUCCAUUCUAGACUGCCAGUAACUACUAUCACCUACCUUUUACUUCACCUGAUAGAGAUAUGGGAGUUAAAAGAAAAUUUUUCAUCACUAAUGGUAGUCUUUGAGCUAUAUAAGGUCAGAAACAAAAAUAUCCAAGACUGAUUUCUUACCUUCAAAAAGUAGCAAGCAAGGUAAAAGCAAAUAAGCAGAUAACUUCCCAUUUAUCAGAGAUUGGGUGAAAUAGGACUACUAUGCACUCCAGGUUAGAGUCAAAGAUGCCUGCCAGUCACAAGGACCUGUAACCCGAUGCUUGCGGGCAUCUGUGAUGAAUCCUAGCCCCAGAUGAAAUACUCCCAGACCAAGUGGUUUGGCAGGGUCCAUUCCACAGGGGCAAUUUGCAUCUGGCAGCUGAUGAUGCCCUCUGUCCCCAUUAUAACCCACAAUCUAUAAUAGAGCUGCUUGGUUGCUGUAUUUUCUGAAAAAUAAAAAAAGACAAGCUUGUGACUAUCGAAGACCCA